GAUGAACGCUGGCGGCGUGCCUAAUACAUGCAAGUCGAGCGAACGGACGAGAAGCUUGCUUCUCUGAUGUUAGCGGCGGACGGGUGAGUAACACGUGGAUAACCUACCUAUAAGACUGGGAUAACUUCGGGAAACCGUAGCUAAUACCGGAUAAUAUUUUGAACCGCAUGGUUCAAAAGUCAACGACGGUCUUGCUGUCACUUAUAGAUGGAUCCGCGCUGCAUUAGCUAGUUGGUAAGGUAACGGCUUACCAAGGCAACGAUGCAUAGCCGACCUGAGAGGGUGAUCGGCCACACUGGAACUGAGACACGGUCCAGACUCCUACGGGAGGCAGCAGUAGGGAAUCUUCCGCAAUGGGCGAAAGCCUGACGGAGCAACGCCGCGUGAGUGAUGAAGGUCUUCGGAUCGUAAAACUCUGUUAUUAGGGAAGAACAUAUGUGUAAGUAACUGUGCACAUCUUGACGGUACCUAAUCAGAAAGCCACGGCUAACUACGUG
rnacentral:rRNA from 1 species